UUCCCUCGUCCAACUUCCUCGCGCUUACCGCGGGGGCUGAUUUUUUGUUAGAGCCAGCGUCGAACUUCCUGAUGGCCUGGACCGGCACACCUGACCGUAAGGCUUGGUUCACCGCCUUAGGAUCGCGAAGGUCUUGGGCCUUUGUUUUUGACUUGCGCAGUACCACCGGCUCCCAGUCCUGGCUGAUCACUCCUGUCGAUCUGCUAGGCAUUUUC
rnacentral:misc_RNA from 1 species